rnacentral:rRNA from 1 species
CGGCGGACGGGUGAGUAACACGUGGGUAACCUACCUAUAAGACUGGGAUAACUUCGGGAAACCGGAGCUAAUACCGGAUAACAUUUAGAACCGCAUGGUUCUAAAGUGAAAGAUGGUUUUGCUAUCACUUAUAGAUGGACCCGCGCCGUAUUAGCUAGUUGGUAAGGUAACGGCUUACCAAGGCGACGAUACGUAGCCGACCUGAGAGGGUGAUCGGCCACACUGGAACUGAGACACGGUCCAGACUCCUACGGGAGGCAGGCAGUAGGGAAUUCUUCCGCAAUGGGCGAAAUGCCUGACAGGAGCAACGUCCGCGUGAGUGAUGAAGGGUUUCGGCUCGUAAAACUCCUGUUAUUAGGGAAGAACAAAUUGUGUAAGUAACUGUGCACAUCUUGACGGUACCUAAUCAGAAAGCCACGGCUAACUACGUGCCAGCAGCCGCGGUAAUACGUAGGUGGCAAGCGUUAUCCGGAAUUAUUGGGCGUAAAGCGCGCGUAGGCGGUUUCUUAAGUCUGAUGUGAAAGCCCACGGCUCAACCGUGGAGGGUCAUUGGAAACUGGGAAACUUGAGUGCAGAAGAGGAAAGUGGAAUUCCAUGUGUAGCGGUGAAAUGCGCAGAGAUAUGGAGGAACACCAGUGGCGAAGGCGACUUUCUGGUCUGUAACUGACGCUGAUGUGCGAAAGCGUGGGGAUCAAACAGGAUUAGAUACCCUGGUAGUCCACGCUCGUAAACGAUGAGUGCUAAGUGUUACGGGGGUUUCCCGCCCCUUAGUGCUGCAGCUAACGCAUUAAGCACUCCGCCUGGGGUAGUACGACCGCAAGGUUGAAACUCGAAAGGAAUUGACGGGUGACCCGCACAGAGCUGGUGGAAGCAUGCUUGGUUUAAUUCUGAAGCAACGCGAAGAAUCCUUUACCCAAAUCUUGACCAUCCCUUUUGAAAACUCAUAGAGAUAGAGUCCUUCACCCUUCGGGGGACAAGAGUUGACAGGUGGUGACAAUGGUUCGUCGUCAGCUACGUGAUCGUGGAUGAUGUCUGUGGUUAAAGUACCCGCAACGGAGCGCAACCUCUUAAGCUCUAUGUCUGCGUUCUAUUCAUCUAAGUUGGGCACGUCUAUGGCUUUGUACCUGCACGAGUGAACAAACCGGUAGGCAAGCGUGGGGGGCAUGACGGUACAAAUCAUCAUGCCCCUUAUGAUUUGGGCUACACACGUGCUACAAUGGACAAUACAAAGGGCAGCUAAACCGCGAGGUCAUGCAAAUCCCAUAAAGUUGUUCUCAGUUCGGAUUGUAGUCUGCAACUCGACUACAUGAAGCUGGAAUCGCUAGUAAUCGUAGAUCAGCAUGCUACGGUGAAUACGUUCCCGGGUCUUGUACACACCGCCCGUCACACCACGAGAGUUUGUAACACCCGAAGCCGGUGG